rnacentral:rRNA from 1 species
CCUACGGGAGGCAGCAGUAGGGAAUCUUCCACAAUGGACGAAAGUCUGCUGGAGCAACGCCGCGUGAGUGAAGAAGGGUUUCGGCUCGUACAGCUCUGUUAGUAGUGAAGAAAGAUAGAGGUAGUAACUGGCCUUUAUUUGCUGGUAAUUACUUCGAUAGUCACGGCUAACUACGUGCCAGCAUCCGCGGUAAGACGUAGGUGGCAAGCGUGGUCCGGAUUUAUUGGGUGUAAAGCGAGUGCAGGCGGUUGAAUAAGUGUGAUGUGGAAGCCUUCGGCUGAACCCGGGAAUUGCAUCCGAAACUGUUGACCGUGAGUGCAGAAGAGGUGAGUGGAACUCCAUGUGUAGCGGUGGAAUGCGUAGAUAUAUGGAAGAACACCAGUUGCGAAGGCGGCUCUCUGGUCUGCAACUGACGCUGAGGCUCGAAAGCAUGGGUAGCGAACAGGAUUAGAUACCCUUGUAGUC